rnacentral:rRNA from 1 species
UACACUCCUACGGGAGGCAGCAGUGGGGAAUAUUGCACAAUGGGCGCAAGCCUGAUGCAGCCAUGCCGCGUGUAUGAAGAAGGCCUUCGGGUUGUAAAGUACUUUCAGCGGGGAGGAAGGCAAUACGGUUAAUAACCGUGUUGAUUGACGUUACCCGCAGAAGAAGCACCGGCUAACUCCGUGCCAGCAGCCGCGGUAAUACGGAGGGUGCAAGCGUUAAUCGGAAUUACUGGGCGUAAAGCGCACGCAGGCGGUCUGUCAAGUCGGAUGUGAAAUCCCCGGGCUCAACCUGGGAACUGCAUUCGAAGCUGGCAGGCUUGAGUCUUGUAGAGGGUGGUAGAAUUCCAGGUGUAGCGGUGAAAUGCGUAGAGAUCUGGAGGAAUACCGGUGGCGAAGGCGGCCCCCUGGACAAAGACUGACGCUCAGGUGCGAAAGCGUGGGGAGCAAACAGGAUUAGAAACCCGGGUAGUCCCAUGA